UACGUAGGGGGCAAGCGUUGUCCGGAAUCAUUGGGCGUAAAGAGCGUGUAGGCGGCCCGAUAAGUCCGCUGUGAAAGUCCAGGGCUCAACCCUGGAAUGCCGGUGGAUACUGUCGGGCUCGAAUCCGGAAGAGGUGAGUGGAAUUCCUGGUGUAGCGGUGAAAUGCGCAGAUAUCAGGAGGAACACCGGUGGUGCAAACGGCUUUCUGGACCGUAACUGACGCUGAGACACGAAAGCGUGGGGAGCAAACAGG
rnacentral:rRNA from 1 species